rnacentral:rRNA from 1 species
AUUCCGGUUGAUCCUGCCGGAGGUCACUGCUAUGGGAGUUCGACUAAGCCAUGCGAGUCGCGGGCACCCCUUCGGGGGGGACCCGGCGAACGGCUCAGUAACACGUGGAUAAUCUGCCCACGGGUCGGGGAUAACCCCGGGAAACUGGGACUAAUACCCGAUAGGUCAUAGUUGCUGGAAUGCUCUUUGAUUUAAAACCUUGUGCCCGUGGAUGAGUCUGCGGCCGAUUAGGCUGUUGUUGGGGUAACUGCCCAACAAACCUAUGAUCGGUACGGGUCGUGAGAGCGAUAGCCCGGAGAUGGGAUCUGAGAUACGAUCCCAGGCCCUACGGGGCGCAGCAGGCGCGAAACCUUUACAAUGUGGGAAACCAUGAUAAGGGAACUCCCAGUGCUCCUACACAGUAGGAGCUGUUCAGAUGUGUAAAAAGCAUCUGAUAGGAAGGGCCGGGUAAGACCGGUGCCAGCCGCCGCGGUAACACCGGUGGCCCGAGUGGUGGCCGCUUUUAUUGGGUCUAAAGCGUUCGUAGCCGGUUUGACAAGUCAUCUGGGAAAUUCGGCGGCUUAACCGUCGGGCGUUCAAAUGAUACUGUCAGACUUGGAACUGGGAGAGACUAGAGGUAUUCUUGGGGUAGGGGUGAAAUCCUGUGAUCCUAGGGAGACCGCCGGUGGCGAAGGCGUCUAGUUAGAACAGGUUCGACGGUGAGGAACGAAAGCUGGGGGCACAAACCGGAUUAGAUACCCGGGUAGUCCCAGCCGUAAACGAUGCCAGCUAUGUGUCGGGAGAUCCACGUGUUCUUCCGGUGCCGUAGGGAAGCCGUGAAGCUGGCCACCUGGGAAGUACGGCCGCAAGGCUGAAACUUAAAGGAAUUGGCGGGGGAGUACUACAACCGGUGGAGCUUGCGGUUUAAUUGGAUACAACGCCGGAAAUCUCACCGGGGGCGACAGCAGUAUGAAGGCCAGGCUGAGGACCUUGCUAGAUUAGCUGAGAGGAGGUGCAUGGCCGUCGUCAGUUCGUACCGUGAGGCAUCCUGUUAAGUCAGGCAACGGGCGAGACCCGCGGUCUUAAUUGCCAGCAUACCCUUCGGGGUGAUUGGGUACAAUAAGACGACUGCCAGCGCUAAGCUGGAGGAAGAAGCGGGCUACGGUAGGUCAGCAUGCCCCGAAUCCCCCGGGCUACACGCGUGCUACAAUGGUCGGAACAAAGAGUACCGAUCCCGAAAGGGAAAGGUGAUCUCCUAAACCCGAUCGAAGUUCGGAUCGAAGGUUGCAAUUCGCCUUCGUGAAGUUGGAAUCGGUAGUAAUCGUGUCUCAAAAUGACACGGUGAAUAUGUCCCUGCUCCUUGCACACACCGCCCGUCAAACCACCCGAGUGGAGUCUGGAGAAGAUUUUCUUCAUUGGGGAAGAUCAAACCCAGAUCCCGUAAGGGGGGUUAAGUCGUAACAAGGUAGCCGUAGGGGAACCUGCGGCUGGAUCACCUCCU